rnacentral:sRNA from 1 species
GUUGGGCACAGUGGCGCACACCUGUAAUCCCAGUGACUUGGGAGGCUGAGGCAGGAGGAUCACGAGUUCAAAGCUACCCUCAGCAAUGGCCAGGUGCUAUGCAACUCAGUGAGACCCUGUCUCUA